rnacentral:lncRNA from 1 species
AUGCAAUUGCUUUCUCGUCCAAGGCCAGCAUUACCUGCAGCCCUAAAGGAAGCGCUCACAUUUGGGGUGAGUCCCGCCAGCUGCAGAGGUGGACCUGAAGAGCUCGAAGUCCGAUGCGUAGGCCAACCUGCAGGUGAUGAUCCAGCGGAGAGAACGGCCUUGCCUCUUGACUCCACCGCUCUGCUUCUGUGCCACGAUAAGCUGAACUGGAAGAGGACAUUCUUCCUGUGGAAUGAAGGGAUCCAUGCAAGGAAAGUUUUAACAGGCCCCACAUUGAAGAGCACCUGGAGUUCACUAACAGUCCACCAAGUCUGCAGUCUGACAGCUAAACAUGUAAUCAGAUCUUCAGUCUCCGGAGUCAAACCCAUUCUUGCAGCCCUUUUGUCAAAGCUGACAUCUUGGAGGUUUUUUGACAGAAGUAAAGCCCAGAUAAGUUUCUCCUAACUUCUAUAAAAGUGCUAAUUUAUCCUUUCAGAAAAAGAAA